rnacentral:rRNA from 1 species
UACGUAGGGACCAAGCGUUGUUCGGAUUUACUGGGCGUAAAGGGCGCGUAGGCGGCAAUUCAAGUCAUCUGUGAAAUCUCCGGGCUUAACUCGGAACGGUCAGAUGAUACUGCUUUGCUCGAGUGCGGAAGGGGCAAUCGGAAUUCUUGGUGUAGCGGUGAAAUGCGUAGAUAUCAAGAGGAACACCUGAGGUGAAGACGGGUUGCUGGGCCGACACUGACGCUGACAGCGCGAAGGCCAGGGGAGCAAACGGG